AUGAUCCUGUGGCUGAAUUUGGUUUCCUUCCUAGCAGUCCUCAGAGGUGUCCUGUCAGAGGCCCAGUUGGUGGAGUCCGGAGGGGACGUGAGAAGGCCUGGAGAGUCCCUCCGUCUCUCCUGCCAAGGCUCUGGGUUCGACUUCGGGAGCUAUGCCAUGUACUGGGUGCGACAGGCCCCUGGGAAAGGGCUGGAAUGGGUGGCAUCCAUAAGCUACAAUUCAGGUACCAUUUACUAUUCGGACAAAGUGAAGGGACGCUUCACCAUCUCCAGGGACAACUCCAAAAGCCAAGUCUAUCUGCAAAUGAACAGCCUGAAACUGGAGGACACGGCAGUCUAUUACUGUGCGAGGGACACAAUGUCCAGUCAGAGGUCCAGUUGGUGGAGUCUGGAGGAGACGUGAGAAGGCCUGGAGAGUCCCUCCGUCUCUCCUGCCAAGUCUCUGGCUUCACCUUCAGCAGCUGUUGGAUGAGAUGGGUGAGACAGGCUCCAGGGGAAGGACU